CCUUUCUCGCUUCAUCCGCGGUCCCUGUCUGUUUUCGUUAUGGCGCCUUGUACUUCUACCCAACGUUGCCCGCCCCCCAUCUUCCCAGCCCACCAGCUCCGUCCGCCUCUCCGGAUGAUUCGUGAGAUACCGAGCCUGCCGGGAAGGGACCGGAUUUUUCCGUCUGGUCCAAGGAAGCACGGGUUAUGGCCACAUGCGCAGUGAUAACUCAGGGCCCCACGCCUUUUGACCCGUGAGUGUUGUAGGCUUGGGGGUGACGGGAUCUGGUAAGAGCAUUUGUGCCUUUACUGGAUUACGUGCUUGGGUGCAGUAACCUUAUUAGGAUGACGCCAAUGGAAGGGCCUGUGACCAUUACCUCCGAGCGACCUUUUUGUGAUUAACCUCGCUCCUAUGUUGGGUGGAAUUUGGGUCCUACCACGUGCUAGGCGAUCGCUAUGUCAACCAUAGUAUUAAAGCCUUAAAAAAAAAAAAGUCAGGAUAAUGGGCCCUACAGAGUUGGGCAAGGAUUAUACAACCUCGGCUUUCUCGCUUUCUGAUUGCAAAAAGCCGCCAUUUUAUUCAGCUAAACCUGAUGUCCACAGCGCGUUAAAAAGCGUUUGUAGGCGGUAGGGUCAUUAAUUUGAGACUGCUUUGGGUUAUAGUCAGGAACCUAUCCCAAUGUCUAAAGCUUCACGUAUUGAACUAGGAGCCAUCGGAGCCCACAGGAUUGCCUUUUCAGGCGUCUCUCUAGUAGGCAGUGGUGAGGCAUGUGGCUUGUGGGUUUGAGGUCUAGCAAUUGCUAUCGCUGUCUGUGGCCCUUAUCGAAGCUGCAGCAGCUUCUACAUAGCUGCUGUGGUCAAAAAGGUGGCCCAGAGAAAGAAUUUUCCUUGACGGUCGCAGUUCUGUUUCCUGUAACUGAUCUGCAACAUUGUGGAAAAUGACAGCUUCACCUUACUAUUUCUCUGGAGUAUGUAGCAAUCUUUAGGCUUUUAUUCCUGGGGGGGGUGGGAGGGGAUAGGAGGUAGACCGGUGAGUGAGCUCAAUCUGAUUUACAAUUCAGGCCUGUAUUGAUCAUCUAUUGGUAAAUAAACAAUGCCUUGGUCACUGUCACAGUCCCUAUAAGGUAAUGACUGGGAAUAUGGAACAAGAUUAUUGUGGCUAAUUCUGUUGCCAUUCAUCUUAGCUGUUGAUGAAGAUUGUGAGGAGGGAGACCAGAAGAUAAUGGACAACGAUACAGCAGAAGGGUCUGGUAAGCUCCGUUUAGUUGCACUACCCGGGGAGACCUGAGGCAUGUUUCCAAGGGCUGUGGCUGCCUGUAGCCAUGGGAUCUCCAACUGCAUGCCAGAGUAAUGGAGAGACUUUGACAGCUCAGGUCAGCACAGUGCCUGCAGCUGCCACUCAUCUUUCCUAUAUAUGUAUAUCAGGCCUCAAGUUGAGCGCCCUCUACCUGUGAGGCUAUUGUUCUGUGGUAUUUACAACAAAUGUUUCUUCUGCAGGUUACACUUGAGCUUAUUUCUUGGAAGAGUCUGAGAAGACGGCCUGUCAGGCUCCUAACACUAAGGGCCAUGUAACCAGUGAAGCAGCCAUUAUAUAUGAUUUGGUCUACACUUGUUGGAAAAAUUCCACAAGAGGAUCUCCUGGAAGCUAGCAGAAGUUUUUGGCUUGUACAUUGCCAGGCAGCCAUUGGAAUCGGAGCUGCAGUCAGAUUAAGGCCAGCCUGGCCUACAUUGAGAAACCUCAUUUUGGGAAAGUGAAAUACUUUGUCAAUUAACAUGCAGUUGGUUCAAUAAAGACUUUUGGAAAGUGUC
rnacentral:lncRNA from 1 species